AGCUCAGGGCCUAUCUUCCUCACCAAAAAAUAAAAAAGAAUAAUAAUUCAUGAUUACUUGAAAAGAGCCUAUUCGUGAGGAUGGAGAAGGAGACAUUUCCUAGAGACAGAUUGAAAUAAGUGUAAAAGCAAGCUAUGGUUUCAGCAUCCAGCGCUGCAGUGUUCACAUUAGUUUCACCUCUGACACUUUCAAAAGUUAUAGAGAAACAACCCACGUAGACUUUUAAUUGAGUAGAUCUGAAAGCUGUUCUACUAAGGAUGUGGGGGAGUCAGAUCGGUGGUUGUUUUGACCUUUGCAGAUCACUGAGGAUGGCCAGGAAGCAAAAAACAACGGAGGGUAAAAUAGAUUAAGAACAAAAUCCACAAAAAGAAAUCCUUGAAUCUUUCUGGACUAGAGGCUGCGAAUGGAAGGAGAUGCUUUAUGAAAGAGGUGACUGUUUCCCUUUCACCCGAAAUCAAGUUGGAGAAGCUUCCAAGUGUCCAUUCAUGGGGAGCUGGCAAAGAGUAAACAGUGAAAAACGUGAUUCAGUUGUUCUACACUCCUCUCUUACCAACUGCCUCAGAUGUUUGCCUUUGUUUAUGAAAGGAGCUAAGAAAAAACCCGCAAUUAUUUCACUCUAAAUGGAGAAUUCUCCAAGAACAUCUCUAGAAGUGGACCAGCCCAGCAUCUUUAUAUGUGAAACAGAAUUUUUUUCAGUAAAAGUAGCACUUGCAGAACAACUGUCUUCAUUUUAAUUUGGAAACAUCAAAAACUAUUUU
rnacentral:lncRNA from 1 species